GAUGAACGCUGGCGGCGUGCCUAACACAUGCAAGUCGAACGGAAAGGCUCCUGUUUGCCCGGGUACCCGAGUGGCGAACGGGUGUGUAACACGUGGGUGAUCUGCCCUGCACUUCGGGAUAAGCCGGGGAAAGUGGGUCUACUACCGGAUAGGACUAGGGGAAGGAUGCGAUUGUGGAAAGCUUUUUCGGUGUGGGAUGCGCGAGCGGCCUAUCCGCUUGUGGGUGGGGAAGGGGCACACCAAGGCGUCGACGGGUCUCCGGCAUGAGGGCGUGGACGGCCUCAUUGGUACUACGGUACGGCCCAGUCUCCUACGGGGGACAGCAGUGGGGAAUAUUACACAAUGGUCGCAAGCCUGUUGCAGCGGCGCCGCGUGGGUAAUGACCUCCUUCGUGUUGUGAACUGCUUUCGCUAGAGACGAAGCUCAAGUGACGGUACCUGGAGAAUAAGCACCGGCUAACUACGUG
rnacentral:rRNA from 1 species